ACGGGAUCCAUCGUUUGGCACGAGCAAGACUUGUCCAUGAAAUCUGGGUCUCGAGUAGGACACAAAUAUCAGGAUAAUACUAGUGGAUGAUUCUGCCAAAUAUCAUUCGGAACAAGGGCUUCUCCACCUCUCUAGUGUUCCAAUCAAUAGCCUCAUUGAGGCAACUGAUGGGGAUGGGGAUCCACAAUGAUAUGCCUCUC
rnacentral:lncRNA from 1 species